rnacentral:rRNA from 1 species
UAAAGACUAAGCCAUGCAUGUAUCAGUACARGCCUAACUAAGGUGAAACCGCGAAUGGCUCAUUAAAUCAGUUAUGAUUUACUGGCCGAGACAGUGAUACAUGGAUAACUGUGGUAAUUCUAGAGCUAAUACAUGCAACCGAGCCCCAGUCCGGCGCCUCGGCGACGGCGGGGCGCUUUUAUUGGCUGAAAACCGAUGGCUGCCCUCGCGGGCGGUCGUUAUUCGAUGAGUCACAAUAACAUUGUGUGGAUCGUAGGGUCCUGUACCGACGACGCGCCUUUCAAAUAUCUGCCUUAUCAGCUCUCGACGGUUGGCUAGUGGCUGACCGUGGCACUGACGGGUAACGGGGAAUCUGGGUUCGAUUCCGGAGAGGGAGCCUGAGAGAUGGCUACCACAUCUAAGGAAGGCAGCAGGCGCGUAACUUACCCACUCCCAGUUCAGGGAGGUAGUGACAAUAAAUACCUUACAGAGGUCUCGUUAACCGAGAUCUCUCAAACGGAAUGAGUACAACGUGAAUCCUUUAACGAGGAUCGACUGGAGGGCAAGCCUGGUGCCAGCAGCCGCGGUAAUUCCAGCUCCAGUAGCGUAUAUUAAAGCUGUUGCGGUUAAAAAGCUCGUAGUUGGAUAUCAGUGCGUUUCGGUUCGGCAUGCCCGGUGCGUUAUGGCGUCCGCGCGAUGACGCCCGGGCUCCCAAAUGUCGGCCCAGCGCAUUCAAUGGCGUCGGACACAGCAGCCGCCUUUCGGGGGGGCCAGCUGGCGACUGGCGGUGUUACCUUGAACAAAUUAGAGUGCUCAAAGCAGGCUCGCAAUGCCUGUAUACAUAUUCAUGGAAUUGGAGAAUACGUCCCUGGCUCGAUUUGGUUGGUUUUGAGAGUCGAAGGGAAAUGAUUAA